AUAUGAAGGUAAUGAUUCCCUUGUUCUGCCAGGAUUUCCUCCCAAAUGUAGUAUAAUGGAAGCUGGAGGUUCAGUGGAUGAAGACGGACUAACUUUAUCAGAAAUUUGGAAAUAUUGUAAGAAACAGAAAAAUGUAAAUACGAGAACACGUGGUCAGCAUAAGAAGUUAGCAGGUCAAGUUCAAAGUCUGGCAUCUUCAAUUGGAGCAAGUUCUGUUGAUACUAUGAAGUCAGAGAGGUUGGAAGAUAGAGGUCCGAUAGACGAGGAUGGACCAAGUUUAUCAGAAACUUUUGAAAAUUCUAAGAAACAUAAAAAUGGUGAAACUAGAAUGUGUGGUGACAGUGAGAAAUUAUCAGGUCAAGGUCAAGAUCUGGCAUCUUCAAUUGCAGAAAGUUCUGUUGACACUGUAAACUCAGAGAAAUUGGUGACAGAGGACAUGUUGAAUAAAGUUUUGAUUGGAAGAUUCAAGGCCGAAAGGAACCUGAAAACUGUAAUGAGGAGUAAUGCAAGAAGUUCAGAUAAUGAGAUGGCAAGCAUUGUUGACAAUGAAUGUGCUAGCAGCAGCUCUCAAAUUGAGAAACGGGUUUCAGUGCUUAAAGCUAGGGCCAGCAGGCUUGAGAGUAUAGUUAUCAUGUUGAAAGAAAAUUAUCCUUGGACCAAGUUCUAGGGUAAAGCAAACGAAACAAAGCAUCCUCUAAUCUGGGAAGGGGAGCCAAGAGUAGAACUCUGCAAGUUUGAGGAACUUUUGUCUUUUGUAGAUGUUCCAUUGCUUAGAAGGCAGCCAGAAUCUCUUGCUAGCAGUCUCAAAGCAAAACAAUGUUCAAUGCUGCAAAACAUGCAUAAACAAAGUGGGAAUUGCAUGCCGGAUGGAAUUACCAAGUUAUUGUUUAACACAACGUUACCAACUAAUAACCUCAAGUCGCAGAGUCCAACAUUUAUACUAUUACAUCAACAAAGGACUGAAUCAAAGAAUAUACCCAUCAAUCAAAGGGCAGCAAUAAGACGAUGGUUCAACAGGAGACCUCCUGCAGCAUCCAUCAAAAACUUGAUCUUGAUUUUGUUCAGGGUGGCUAGAGCCUCUUGCAUACUUCCGGUGAUUCUACACAAGAAGCAAGAGCAUAUCUCAUAAUGGU